rnacentral:rRNA from 1 species
AGCGAACGCUGGCGGCAGGCCUAACACAUGCAAGUCGAACGGAUCCUUCGGGAUUAGUGGCAGACGGGUGAGUAACACGUGGGAACGUGCCUUUAGGUUCGGAAUAACUCAGGGAAACUUGUGCUAAUACCGAAUGUGCCCUUCGGGGGAAAGAUUUAUCGCCUUUAGAGCGGCCCGCGUCUGAUUAGCUAGUUGGUGAGGUAAAGGCUCACCAAGGCUACGAUCCAUAGCUGGUCUGAGAGGAUGACCAGCCACACUGGGACUGAGACACGGCCCAGACUCCUACGGGAGGCAGCAGUAGGGAAUCUUGCGCAAUGGGCGAAAGCCUGACGCAGCCAUGCCGCGUGUAUGAUGAAGGUCUUAGGAUUGUAAAAUACUUUCACCGGGGAAGAUAAUGACGGUACCCGGAGAAGAAGCCCCGGCUAACUUCGUGCCAGCAGCCGCGGUAAGAC